rnacentral:rRNA from 1 species
AAACAUGUCUUUUUGAGUUAUAUUUAAAGUCUGACCUGCCCACUGAAUAAUUUUAAAUGGCCGCAGUAUUUUGACUGUGCAAAGGUAGCAUAAUCAUUAGUCUUUUAAUUGAAGGCUGGUAUGAACGGUUGGACGAAGUAUAAGCUGUUUCAUAUAAAUUUAUUAUAGAAUUUUAUAUUUUAGUUAAAAAGCUAAAAUUUUAUUAAAAGACGAGAAGACCCUAUAAAUCUUUAUAUUUAAUGUUAUUUAAAUUUUUUAGAUUUAUUUUAUUUUUAUAGUAUUAAAUAUUUUGUUGGGGUGAUAUUAAAAUUUAACAAACUUUUAAUUAUUUAAAUUCAUUAAUUUAUGAAUUAUUGAUCCAUUAAUAUUGAUUAUAAGAUUAAGUUACUUUAGGGAUAACAGCGUAAUUUUUUUUGAGAGUUCAUAUCGAUAAAAAAGUUUGCGACCUCGAUGUUGGAUUAAGGUAUAAUUUUGGGUGUAGCUGUUCAAAUAUUAAGUCUGUUCGACUUUUAAAUCCUUACAUGAUC